GAUGAACGCUGGCGGCGUGCCUAAUACAUGCAAGUCGAGCGAACGGACGAGAAGCUUGCUUCUCUGAUGUUAGCGGCGGACGGGUGAGUAACACGUGGAUAACCUACCUAUAAGACUGGGAUAACUUCGGGAAACCGGAGCUAAUACCGGAUAAUAUUUUGAACCGCAUGGUUCAAAAGUAAAAGACGGUCUUGCUGUCACUUAUAGAUGGAUCCGCGCUGCAUUAGCUAGUUGGUAAGGUAACGGCGUACCAAGGCAACGAUGCAUAGCCGACCUGACAGGGUGAUCGGCCACACUGGAGCUGUGACGCGGUCCAGACUCCUACGGGAGGCAGCAGUAGGGAAUCUUCCGCAAUGGGCGAAAGCCUGACGGAGCAACGCCGCGUGAGUGAUGAAGGUCUUCGGAUCGUAAAACUCUGUUAUUAGGGCAGAACAGAUGUGUAAGUAACUGUGCACAUCUUGACGGUACCUAAUCAGAAAGCCACGGCUAACUACGUG
rnacentral:rRNA from 1 species